rnacentral:rRNA from 1 species
UACAGAGGGGGCAAGCGUUUGUUCGGAAUUACUGGGCGUAAAGGGCGCGUAGGCGGCCUGUUAAGUCGAACGUGAAAUCCCCGGGCUCAACCCGGGAACUGCGUCCGAUACUGGCAGGCUUGAAUCCGGGAGAGGGAUGCGGAAUUCCAGGUGUAGCGGUGAAAUGCGUAGAUAUCUGGAGGAACACCGGUGGCGAAGGCGGCAUCCUGGACCGGCAUUGACGCUGAGGAGCGAAAGCGUGGGGAGCGAACAGG